rnacentral:rRNA from 1 species
UACGUAGGUGGCAAGCGUUAUCCGGAAUUAUUGGGCGUAAAGAGCGCGCAGGUGGUUGAUUAAGUCUGAUGUGAAAGCCCACGGCUUAACCGUGGAGGGUCAUUGGAAACUGGUCGACUUGAGUGCAGAAGAGGGAAGUGGAAUUCCAUGUGUAGCGGUGAAAUGCGUAGAGAUAUGGAGGAACACCUGUGGCGAAGGCGGCCAGCUGGGAUAUACCUGACGCUGAGAUGCGAAAGGCGUGGGGAGCGAACGGGAUUAGA